UUACGGUCAAAUCACGCUGAAAACACCGGUUCUCGUUCGAUCACCGAAGUUAAGCAUCGUAGAGCCAGGUCAGUACUUAGAUGGGGGACCGCUUAGAUGGGGGACCGCUUGGGAACACCUGGUACUGUAAG